ensembl:lncRNA
AGAAGGCAUCGGACGAGCAGCGGACUCUCACGCCUUUCCUUUACAGCAGCUUACAGAGAGGACGGACCAAAGAUAAGAGCUAUGGGAGCAUGUGACAGCCACACAAUGUCCCCUCGGUUGGCCUCAUUGACCGGCCCAUGGCACCUUCCAGGUAUGGAUCAAUUUGCAAAAGUUCAUCAGUUGCAGCCCUAACCCUUCAAACCUUGAUGGAAGUGCUUGCUUGCCAAUCAUCCUCACAUCACCUUCACCUGCAGUCAUGUCUGACCUGGCCGCAUAUGAGAGAUAACAUUCGUGUCUGCAGAGCUGAGAGAGGGGACAAAAGGAAGUUUGACGUUAAUGAUUAACGGCGCUAAAAGCCCCUGCUUUUGUAUUCCCAUGGUACCGAGGCUAUCUGGUGGCCAUGUGACCUGCGUGGAGGAGAUUGGGGGUUAGCGGUAGAGCAAACACAGGUGCUGUGUUUGGGUUGGAGUCGCCUGCGCUGUCAGGGACAACCACAAACACACGCAGCUAUGCCAAGCUCCACAAACAGCCGCCUACGCCAACAGAUCAAGUCCAAUGUGCUCCUCCCCGUCUUCCUAUAUGUUCCACAUUGGAAAAAGUACCUGAUUUAUGUCUAGUGCAUUCUAGCUGGGGCAUUCUUAAGGAUUGUCCUUGAUGUAUAGUCUAAAUAAAAACACAAUUGCCUUUUACUUUUAUAAUAAUAAAAAAAACUAUUAAUACAUGCUUUCAUUUAUGUACCUGUAUAUUCCACUGUGCUGAAUGAUCAUGUUCUCAUGCCACAUGCAACUGCUAAUCAAUUUUGCUGAGGUUGCCUCACUGUAAUUAAUGAGCUGUUCUCAAUCAUUCUCAAUCAUGCUAAACACAAUGUUAACAAGUCCUGAGGGAAAGGUGUUAAGAACCAUUUAACCUAGGCAUUUUCAAUGUCAAUCAUGGCUACAGGUGCAGUGCACUAGUGGGAACUGGACCUUUUCUUGAUAAUGUAAUCAGCUGAUAUGAAGGCCCUAUCGCCAAAACCCUCUCUCACUGACACAGAAAUGACGGAAGUGAUAACAAGAACAAAAGCUACAAUACUCGCAUCCCCUCUUGUAAAAACAAGGAAAUAGAAAGACUCCAUUAUGGAAACACCUCAUUCAGUUUCUAAUUUUCUGUGUGGUGAUCAGACAGACGGUCUUUUUAUUGGUCU